rnacentral:lncRNA from 1 species
GCAUUCUAAUUCUUAACCCUAGCGUCCAGACUCCAGCCGUCCUUGCUCCUAAGUCGCUCUCUCAACCCUCACAAUUCAUACUUUCACUCACAGAUCUAUAACAAAAUCAAUAAUCAAGUUAAUCCAUCUUCAUCUAUAGCUAGCCACAUCCCUCUCCCACACCAUCUUCAUCUUCAAUUCUAACAAACUAGCCAGUCAGCCACAUCCCUCUCCCACACGGGCAUGAGUCACAUGACAUACACCACACCGA